CUGGUUUAUUCCCUUUGUCAGUUAAAGAAGGCGGGAGAAAUCUCAAGAGUGACAGGUAGCAGUGAAGAAAUCUCAAACACAGAAAACAGGAGCAGACAGAAUUUACAGUUGAAGAAAGGGGAUGAGGAAACAUGCGUGCAGUGGACGCACAGAGGGGAUAAAACCCUCUGCUAAACAGAGAGGACUCGGGAACCUCCCCUAAUUUAGGGUUGGUUGGUUUGAAAAACAGCUAGGACAGUUGUUGAUGUAACUUGUCAGACCUUGAAUUUGUCGAGCCAGUCCAUCAGCAGAGGGUGCUGCUGAGAGACAGCAGUUAGCAAGCCUUUGUUUUAAACUGUCUGGCUUUUGUGGAAGGUCAGGAAGAUACUUAUCCUGGAAUGUCUUUUUGCUGUGUAAAUCAAGAAUACUGGCUUCUCUGAGUAGAAAUGUCAGAAAAAGACACCUUAGGCUGCUACAGAGGACAAGGUAGGGUUUCACACUGCUGCUGUUGUGACCGUUGUGUUUUAUGACCGUUGUG
rnacentral:lncRNA from 1 species